ensembl:lncRNA
GAAAGAAAGAGGUAAAACUGUUUUUAUUCUGUCAUGAUCAUGUAAAUAAAAAGCCCUAAGGAGCCACAAAAAAGCUACUUGAAAUAAUGAAUUUAGCAAGGUAGCAGGAGACAAGAAAAGUUUACAGAGACUAUUUGCGUUUCUAUAUACGAGCAAUUAACAGAAAGUGAAAUCUAUAUAUUCUGCUUACAAGUCUUUUGUCAGAUAUUUGGUUUGCAAAUAUUUUCUGCCAGUUUAUAUCUUGUCUUUUCAUCCUCUAAACAGGGCUUUUACAGGGCAAAUGUUUUAAAUUUGAUGAAGUCCAAUAACAUCAAUUUUUUUCUUACGGAUCAUGCUUUUGGCGUUAGGUCCAAGAAUGCUUCAACCAAACCCUGGGUCCUGGAGACUUCCUCCUACUUCAUUUUUGUACGGAAGUUUAGUUUGAGGUUCUUUUUCUUUUCCUUUCUUUAAAAAUUUUUUGCUUAUGGAUAUCUAGUUACUCCAGCACCCUUGGUUAAAAAGACUCACCUUCCUCCAUUGAAUUGUUUGUGCACCUUUGUCAAAAAUCAGUUGGCCAUACUUGUGUGGGGCUAUUUCUGGUUUCUCCAUUUUGUUCCACUGAUGUAUAUGUUUAUCCCUCUGCCAAUACCACCACAGUCUUGAUUAAUGUAGAUACGUCUACAUGUAGAGAGACUCUUCCCACUUCAUUAUUCUUUUCCAGAAUUGUUUUAGCUAUUCUAGUUCCUUUGCCUUUCCAUAUAAAUUUAGAAUCUUGUCUAUAUUUAGAAAAAAAAUCUUGCCGAGCUUUUGGUAGGAAUUGUGCUAAACCUGUACGUCAAAUGGGGGAGAAGUGACCUCUUUACUAUGUUGCAUCUUCCAGUCCAUGAACAGAGACUGCCUGUUUAUUUGGAUCUUCUGUGAUUUCCUUCAUCAGUGUGUUGCAGUUUUCAGCAUACAAGUCUUGUACAUGUUUUAUUACAUUGACAACUAAGUAUUUCUUUACUUUUUAGUGAUUGUAUUAUACUUUUAAUUUUGAUUUCCAUUUUUUAGGUUUUUUAUUUGUCUCACUGAAAGUACACAGAAAUACAAUUGACGUUUUGGUGUUGAUCUUGCAUCCUGUCACCUCAGUGACCUCACUAUUAGUUCUAGCGGGUUUUUGUUGGUGUUGAUUCCAUGGGACCUUCCACAUAGACCAUCACGUCAUCUGCAAAAAGAAUGUUUCAUUUAUUCCUUUCUGAUCUAUGUCUCUUUUAUUUCCUUCUCUUGUCUUGUUGCACUGGUAAGAAUGGCCAGCACCAUGUUGACUAGCAGAGGUGAGAGUGGACAUCCUUGCCUUGUUUCUGAUCUUAGAGGAAAAGUAUUCAGUGUUUCACCAUUAAGGAUGGUGUUAGUUGUAGGGUUUCUGUAGAUGUUCUUUAUCAAGUUGAAGCAGUCCCUUUCCUAGUUUCCUGGGUUUUUAUCAUGAAUGGGUAUUGAACUUUGUCCAGUGCUGCUUCUCUAUCAAUUGAUAUGAUCAUAUAAUUUUUCUUCUUUCACCUAUUAACAUGAUAGAUCACAUUGAUUUAUUUUCAAAUACUGGAUCAGCCUUGCAACUCUGGAAUAAACUCCAUUUGGUCGUGCUGUAUAACUCUUAAAUAUUGCUGAAUUCUAUUUGCUAAUAUUUUGUUAAUUUUUAAAUCUAUAUUCAUGGGUGAUAUUGGUCUGUACUUUUUUUUCCUUCUUUUUUCUUUUGUAGUGUCUUUGGUUUUGGUACCAGGUUAAUACUGGCUUCAGGGGCCAACCUAGUGGGCAUAGUGGUUAAGUUCCUGCACUCUGCCUUGGUGCCCGAGGUUUGCAGGUUCGGAUCCCUGGCGCAGACAUACCACCGCUUAUCAAGCCACACUGUGGUGGCAUCCCACAUAAAUAGAGGAAGAUUGGCACAGAUGUUAGCUCAGUGACAAUCUUCCUCAGGCAAAAAGAGGAAGAUUGGCAACAGGGCCAAUCUUCUCACACACAAAAAAAAAUACUGGCUUCAUAUAAUGAGUUGGGAAAUGUUUCUCCUCUUCUAUUUUCCAAAAAAAAAAACUGUGUAGAAUUGGUGUUACUUCUUUAAACAUUUAUUAGAACUCUCCAAUGAAACCAUCUGGGCCUGGAGAUUUCUUUUUCAAGAGAUUUUGAAUGCAAUUUCCUUAAGAGUUAAAGAGCUAUUUAAAUUAUCUAUUUAAUAUUUGAUGAUGUGAGGUAGUUUGUACUUUUUGAGGAAUUGGUCCAUUUCCCCUAAGUUGUCAAAUGUGUGUGUAGAGAGUUGUUUGUAGUAUUCUCUUAUCAUCCUUUUAAUGUCUGCAGGGUCUGCAGCGAUACUCCCUAUUUCAUUCCUGACAGUAGUGAUUAGGUUUAGCAAUUUUGUUAAUCUUUUAAAAGAACCAGCUUUUUGUUUCAUUGAUUUUUUUAUGUUUUUUUUGUUUUCAAUUUCAUUGAUUUCUGUUAUCUUUUUUUUUCAGGUAACAUUGGUUUAUAACAUGAUAUAAAUUUUAGGUGUACAUCAUAUUUCGAUUUCUGUGUAGACUACAUCAUGUUCACCAACCAAAGACUAAUGACCAUCCAUCAUCAUACACGUGUGCCUUAUCACUCCUUUUGCUCUCCUCCCUCCCCCAUUCCCCUCUGGUAACCACCAAUCCAAUCUUUUUCUAUGUGUUUGUUUGUUUGUUGCUGUUAAUUGUUUUUAUCUUCUAUUUAUGAGUGAGAUCAUACAGUAUUUGACUGCCUCAAUCUGACUUAUUUCACUUAGCAUAACACCCUCAAGGUCCAUCCAUGUUGUCGCAAAUGGCAAGAUUUCAUCUUUUUUUUAUAGCUGAGUAGUAUUCCAUCGUGAAUAUAUACCACAUCUUCUUUAUCCAUUCAUCCCUUGAUGGGCACUUAGAUUGUUUCCAAGCCUUGGCUAUUGUGAAUAAUGCCUUAAUGGAUGUAGGAAUGCAUAUAUCUUGACACAUUCAUGUUUUCAUGUUUUUUAGAUAAAUACCCAGUAAUGGAAUAGCUAGAUAUACGGUAGUUCUAUUCUUAAUUUUUUGAGGAAUCUCUAUAAUGUUUUCCAUAGUGGCUGCACCAGUUUGCAUUCCCACCAGCAGUGCAUGAGGGUUCCCUUCUCCCCACAACCUCUCCAAUAUUUGUUAUGUCUUGUCUUGUUAAUUACAGCCAUUCUGACAGGUGUGAGGUGAUAUCUCAUUGGAGCUUUGAUUUGCAUUUCCCUAAUGAUUAGUGAUAUUGAACAUCUUUUAAUGUGCCUGUUGGCCAUCUUUAUAGCUUCUUUGGAAAAAUGUCUGUUCAGAUCUUUUGCCCAUUUUCUAAUUGUGCUGGUUUUUUGUUGUUGAGAUGUAUGAGUUCUUGAUAUAUUUUGGAUAUUAGCCCCUUAUCAGAUAUAUGGUUUGCAAAUAUCUUCUCCCAGUUGUUAGGUCACCUUUUCAUUUUGUUGACGGUUUCCUUCUGCUGUGCAGAAGCUUUUUAGUUUGAUGUAGUCCCAUUCGUUUAUUUUUCUUUUAUUUCUCUUGCCUGGUCAGACAUGGUAUUUGAAAAUACACUGCUAAGACUGUUUUGAAGAGCAUACUGUCCAUGUUUUCUUCUAGAAGUUUUAUGGUUCAGGUCUUACAUUCAAGUCUUUAAUCCAUUUUGAGUUAAUUUUUGUGUAUGGUGUAAGAUAAUCAUCUACUUUCAUGCUUUUGUAAGUGGCUGUCCAGUUUUCCCAGCACCAUUUAUUGCAGAGACUUUCCUUUCUCCAUUGUGUGUUCUUGGCUCUUUGGUUGAAAAUUAGCUGUCCAUAGAUUGUAGAUUUACUUAGAUUUUAUCUUUAUUAUUUCUUUCCUUCUGUUUGAUUUGGGUUUAUUUUUUAUCUUUUUCUAGUUUCUUGAGGUGGGAGUAUAGAUUACCGAUUUGAAACUCUUCCUCUUUUCCAAUGUAAACAGUUAGUGCUAUAAAUUUCCCUCUCCGUUCUGCUUUUAGCUGCAUCCUACAAAUUUUGAUACGUUGUAUGUCAUUUACAUUCAGUUCAAUUCUUUUUAAUUUCUCUUGAACUAUGGAUCUUUAACCUAUGGAUUAGUUAAAACUAUGUUGUUUAAUUUCCAAGUGCUUGGAGAUUUUCCUGGUAUUCUUUGGUUACUGAUGUCUGGUUUGAUUCCAGUGGUCAAAGAACAUAUUCUGUGUGAGUUCAAUCAUUUUAAAUUUGUUGAGAUUUGCUUUAUAGCCCAAGAUAUAAUCUACCUUGGUAUAUGUUCCAUGGACGCUUGAAAAAGAAUGCGCAUUCUGCUGUUGUUGGUCUAUAAUGUGAUUGGUCUAUAAUGUCUCUAAUGUCCAUUAGAUCCUGUUGGUUGACGGUGUUAUUAAGUUCUAUAGCCCUGCUGAUUUACGUCCAGUUGUUCAUCAGCUGUGGAGAGAGGGGUGUAAGUCUCCAGCUGUAACUGUGGAGAUGUCUAUUUCUACUUUCAGGUCUAUCAGUGUUUGCUUCAGGUAUUUUGCAGCUCUGUUGUUUGGCGCAUACACAUUUAGGAUUCUAUGUCUCCUCGGUAGAUUGAUCCUUUUAUCAUUAUAUAAUAGCACUCUCUGUCCCUGGUAAUUUCCUUUGUUCUAAAGCCUACUUUAUCUAAUGCUAAUAUAGCCACUCUUGCUUUCUUUUUAUUAACGUUUGCAUGUAUAUCUUUUUCUAGCAUUUUACUUUCAAUCUACAGUUAUAUUUAAUAUCAUUAAAGUAUAUUUGAAGUGAAUUUCUUAUAAACAGUAUAUAAUUGGGUCAUGUUUUUAAAUCCAUUCUGACAGUCUCUGUCUUUUAAUUGGUAUAUUUAGACAAUUUCCACUUAAUGUAACUAUUGGUAUGUUAAGGUCUAAGUCUGCCAUUUUAUUUUUUGUUUUCUGUUUGUUCUCUCUGCUUUUCAAUUUUGUUUUAUUUUUCCUGCCUUCUGUGGGUUGCCUGAACAUUUUUAUUAUUCCAUUUUGAUUUAUCUACAGUGUUUGUUUUUGAUCUUGGGGUUUUUUUGGUGAGGAGGAUUGGCCCUGAGCUAACAUCUGUUGCUAAUCUUCCUCUUUUUGCUUGAGGAAGAUUGUUGCUAACACCUGUGCCAGUCUUCCUCUAUUUUAUGUGGGAUGCCACCACAGCAUGGCUUGACAAGCAGUGCUAUGUCCGUGCCCAGGAUCCAAAACUGUGAACCCCAGGCCACUGAAGUAGAGCACACAAACUUAACCACUACACAACUGGGCUAGCCCCUAUCUAUAGUGUUUUUUAGUGCAUUUCUCUGUAUAGCUUUUUAGCGUUAACCCUAACUAUUACGUUAUAUACACAUAAUCUAUCAAAAUCUACUGGUGUUCACAUUUUACCAGUUUGAAUGAAGUACUGAAAACUUACCUCCAUUUACACCCCUUUAUUCUGCCUCAUUCUAGUAUCUUCCUCUACAUACAUUGAGAACCACACUAGGUAAUACUACAGUUUUUGCUUCAACUGUCAAAUUUAAUUUAGAAAACUCAAAAAGAGUAGGGGGGCCAGCCCGGUGGUGCAGCGGUUAAGUGCGCACAUUCCACUUUGGCAGCCCGGGGUUCGCCACUUCGGAUCCCGGGUGCAGACAUGGUAUCGCUUGGCACGCCAUGCUGUGGUAGGCAUCCCACAUAUAAAGUAGAGGAAGAUGGGCACGGAUGUUAGCUCAGGGCCAGUCUUCCUCAGCAAAAAGAGGAGGAUUGACAGCAGUUAGCUCAGGGCUAAUAUUCCUAAAAAAAAAAAAAAAAAAGUAGGAAAGUCUAUUUUUCACCUAUAUUUUUGCUCUUGCAGUGUUCUUCUUUCCCGCCUGAUGUUCUAGGACUCCAUUUUCUCUAUCAUUGCCUUUCUGUUUAGACAACUUUCUUUAGCCAUUAUUUUGGGGUAGGUCUGCUGGUGACAAAUUCCCUUAGUCUUCCUUCAUCUGAGAACGUCUUCAUUUCCUCUUCAUUCCUGUCUUGCUAGGCUGCUCUGUUCCUGGGCCUUUGGUUUAAGGAUCUUUUUUUUUGUCUGUGCCUGUUGAUGUCUCCAAGUUCCAGGUUUCUGGUUUCUGGCUUCUCCAGAUCCAGUCUGCGAAAUGUGAAGCAAAAAGAAAACUCGGGAACUGACCACCAUAUUAUUUCUUGGGUCUGAAUGUCCCUAUGUGAUCUGCUCUUCUCUCCACUUUUCAUAGUCUUCUUAAGUUUGUUCCAUAUACAGUCCCUGUGUAUACGGUGUCCAGGGUUUUUAACUGUAUUUAGCAAGGGAAAUAGGGAAAGCUGCAUCUACUCCAUUUUCCUGGAAGAAGCCCAGAAAAUGAUUUUUUUAAUAAUAAUAUUUAUAACAGCAUUUAAAAAUGAAAUACUUCAGAUAAACCUAAAAAAUAAGUAAAAG